rnacentral:rRNA from 1 species
CUGUUGGGCAUGCCUGGACGCGCCCAGGCGCACCCAGAACCCUUUGUGAACUUAUACCUUACUGUUGCCUCGGCGCUAGCUGGUCCUUCGGGGCCCCUCACCCUCGGGUGUUGAGACAGCCCGCCGGCGGCCAACCUAACUCUUGUUUUUACACUGAAACUCUGAGCACAAAACAUAAAUGAAUCAAAACUUUCAACAACGGAUCUCUUGGUUCUGGCAUCGAUGAAGAACGCAGCGAAAUGCGAUAAGUAAUGUGAAUUGCAGAAUUCAGUGAAUCAUCGAAUCUUUGAACGCACAUUGCGCCCUCUGGUAUUCCGGAGGGCAUGCCUGUUCGAGCGUCAUUUCAACCCUCAAGCCUGGCUUGGUGAUGGGGCACUGCUUCUUACCCAAGGAGCAGGCCCUGAAAUUCAGUGGCGAGCUCGCCAGGACCCCGAGCGCAGUAGUUAAACCCUCGCUCUGGAAGGCCCUGGCGGUGCCCUGCCGUUAAACCCCCAACUUCUGAAAAUUUGACCUCGGAUCAGGUAGGAAUACCCGCUGAACUUAAGCAUAUCAAUAAGCGGAGGAA